rnacentral:rRNA from 1 species
AACAGGCUUAGCUCCCCCAAGAGUCCACAUCGACGGGGAGGUUUGGCACCUCGAUGUCGGCUCAUCACAUCCUGGGGCUGUAGUAGGUCCCAAGGGUUGGGCUGUUCGCCCAUUAAAGUGGUACGCGAGCUGGGUUCAGAACGUCGUGAGACAGGUCGGUCCCUAUCCGUCGCAGGCGUAGGAAAUUUGAGAAGACCUGUCCUUAGUACGAGAGGACCGGGAUGGACGUACCUCUGGUGUACCAGUUGU